GAUGAACGCUGGCGGCGUGCCUAAUACAUGCAAGUCGAGCGGUAACACUUCGGGUGACGAGCGGCGGACGGCUGAGUAACGCGUAGGAACAUACCCCAAACUGAGUGAUAAGCACCGGAAACGGCGUCUAAUACCGCAUGUGGUCUUCGGAUUAACGCUUCGGCGGUUUAGGAAUGGCCUGCGUCCGAUUAGCUUGUUGGUGAGGUAAAAGCUCACCAAGGCGACGAUCGGUAGCUGGUCUGAGAGGAUGAUCAGCCAGACUGGGACGGAGACACGGCCCAGACUCCUACGGGAGGCAGCAGUAGGGAAUUUUCCACAAUGGGCGAAAGCCUGAUGGAGCAACGCCGCGUGCAGGAUGAAGGCCUUAGGGUUGUAACCUGCUUUUAUCUGUGAAGAUUAUGACGGUAGCAGAUGAAUAAGGAUCGGCUAACUCCGUGCCAGCAGCCGCAGUAA
rnacentral:rRNA from 1 species